AGAGUUUGAUCCUGGCUCAGAUUGAACGCUGGCGGCAUGCCUUACACAUGCAAGUCGAACGGUAGAGUAGCAAUACUUGAGAGUGGCGAACGGGUGAGUAAUAUAUCGGAACGUGCCCAACUGUGGGGGAUAACGUAGAGAAAUUUACGCUAAUACCGCAUACGAUCUAAGGAUGAAAGCGGGGGAUCGCAAGACCUCGCGCAGUUGGAGCGGCUGAUAUCAGAUUAGCUCGUUGGUGAGGUAAAAGCUCACCAAGGCGACGAUCUGUAGCUGGUUUGAGAGAACGACCAGC
rnacentral:rRNA from 1 species